rnacentral:rRNA from 1 species
UACGUAGGUGGCAAGCGUUGUCCGGAUUUAUUGGGUUUAAAAGGGUGCGUAGGCGGUUUUUUUAAGUCAGUGCUGAAAUACUCCAGCUUAACUGGAGGGGUGGCAUUGAUACUGGAAGACUUGAGUACAGAUGAGGUAGGCGGAAUUGACGGUGUAGUGGUGAAAUGCGUAGAUAUCGGGAGGAACACCAGUGGCGAAGGCGCUACCUGGCCUGUUUCUUGACGCUGAG